CCUACGGGAGGCAGCAGUGGGGAAUUUUGGACAAUGGGCGAAAGCCUGAUCCAGCCAUGCCGCGUGCAGGAUGAAGGCCUUCGGGUUGUAAACUGCUUUUGUACGGAACGAAAAGGUCUUUUCUAAUAAAGAAGGCUCAUGACGGUACCGUAAGAAUAAGCACCGGCUAACUACGUGCCAGCAGCCGCGGUAAUACGUAGGGUGCGAGCGUUAAUCGGAAUUACUGGGCGUAAAGCGUGCGCAGGCGGUUAUAUAAGACAGUUGUGAAAUCCCCGGGCUCAACCUGGGAACUGCAUCUGUGACUGUAUAGCUAGAGUACGGUAGAGGGGGAUGGAAUUCCGCGUGUAGCAGUGAAAUGCGUAGAUAUGCGGAGGAACACCGAUGGCGAAGGCAAUCCCCUGGACCUGUACUGACGCUCAUGCACGAAAGCGUGGGGAGCAAACAGGAUUAGAUACCCUGGUAGUCCACGCCCUAAACGAUGUCAACUGGUUNUUGGGUCUUCACUGACUCAGUAACGAAGCUAACGCGUGAAGUUGACCGCCUGGGGGAGGACGGCGCGAGUAGUUAAGUUACUAAUUAGAGUUAGAGGCGNGNGAGNGCGACGGACGACGACGAGGGAGGAGG
rnacentral:rRNA from 1 species